rnacentral:rRNA from 1 species
UACGUAGGGUGCAAGCGUUAAUCGGAAUUACUGGGCGUAAAGCGUGCGCAGGCGGUUAUGUAAGACAGGGGUGAAAUCCCCGGGCUUAACCUGGGAACUGCAUUUGUGACUGCAUAGCUAGAGUACGGUAGAGUGGGAUGGAAUUCCGCGUGUAGCAGUGAAAUGCGUAGAUAUGCGGAGGAACACCGAUGGCGAAGGCAAUCCCCUGGACCUGUACUGACGCUCAUGCACGAAAGCGUGGGGAGCAAACAGG